rnacentral:sRNA from 1 species
GCCAGGUGUGGUAGUGUACACCUGUAAUCCCAGGGACUCGGGAGGCUGAGGCAGGAAAAAUGCCAAGUUCAAGGCCAGCCUCAGCAAUUUAAUGAGGCCCUAAGCAACUUAGUGAAAUCCUGUCUCAA